rnacentral:rRNA from 1 species
UACGUAGGGUGCGAGCGUUAAUCGGAAUUACUGGGCGUAAAGCGUGCGUAGGCGGUUCUCCAAGUCCGUUGUGAAAGCCCCGGGCUCAACCUGGGAAUGGCAGUGGAAACUAGGGGACUGGAAUCUGGCAGAGGGGGGUGGAAUGCCGCGUGUAGCAGUGAAAUGCGUAGAGAUGCGGCGGAACACCGAUGGCGAAGGCAGCCCCCUGGGCUGAGAUUGACGCUCAUGCACGAAAGCGUGGGGAGCAAACAGG